rnacentral:rRNA from 1 species
GUUGUAUAGUUAAGUGACUAAGCGUACAAGGUGGAUGCCUUGGCAAUCAGAGGCGAAGAAGGACGUGCUAAUCUGCGAAAAGCUUGGAUGAGUCGAUAAGAGGCGUUUAAUCCAAGAUAUCCGAAUGGGGAAACCCAGUAGAUGAAGAAUCUACUAUCAACAAGUGAAUACAUAGCUUGUUGAGGCAAACCGGGAGAACUGAAACAUCUAAGUACCCCGAGGAAAAGAAAUCAACCGAGAUUUCGUCAGUAGCGGCGAGCGAAAGCGAAAGAGCCAGUAAGUGAUAGCAGUAUAGUUAGGAGAAUGUGUUGGGAAGCACAAUCAAAGAGGGUGAUAAUCCCGUAUCUAAAAACCAUAUUGUGGUACUAAGCUAACGAGAAGUAGGGCGGGACACGUGAUAUCCUGUUUGAAGAAGGGGGGACCAUCCUCCAAGGCUAAAUACUCCUGAUUGACCGAUAGUGAACCAGUACUGUGAAGGAAAGGCGAAAAGAACCCCGGUGAGGGGAGUGAAAUAGAACCUGAAACCUUGUACGUACAAGCAGUGGGAGCC